CGGAACUACUCAGUGGUGAAGGCUGUGCGGACACUGGGGGCCCGCCAGGGGUUUGGCCCCUUACUCAACCCAACCACGGUCCUCUCCGGCGCAGGCCGAUUUGAGGACCUAGACUCCUUGAUGCUGACGGCCUGAGGGGGCUCCCGGGUGCCGGAUAUCUGACACAGGCCAGGGAGGCUCCCCUGGGAGACCUGGCAGGCCUGGAGGUGUGAGUCGGCUCUGAGCAGCUGCUCUGGGAGAGCCAGUCCACGGAGCCAAAGCUGGAGGGCAGCUGCCGGCCACAAGUUGGGGAGGAGGAGAGACGCAAGGCCGUCAGAUGCUUGUCCUGGAAACCAACCAUGAGCUGUGAUGAAAUCCAGGCAACUGAGUUGUGUUUCAGCCCAAAGCAGCAAAUGGAAUCCAGCUUCAGGACCAUCAUCUGACAUAGGGGAAGAAGACUUACAUAGAAGGCCUAACCAGCACCCAAGAUCAUGGCUGGUGUCAGAGAAGGCUGAAUUGGGUACCAAGACAUUCCUUCUCUCCAGGUGGUAACAAGGACCCUCACAUGGUAUUAAUGAAGACCAAAUGUUUGAAUUUCUGCUUGACUUCUUCAAUUGUGAAAUCUGGAUCUAUGCAGGCUAGCCCUGUUUACUGCUGCUUACUCUAGGAAAUAGAAAUUGUCAGUGAACUUGGAACCAUUGUUUACCUGUAAAGUUUGUGUUGGUUUUCAAAUAUCAGUCCUGAAAUAAUAGUCUCUUUUCCUCCAUUCAUGUUUCUCAGAAAGACUUUAUUCAUUACCACAUAGUUCACAUGAACCCUACAGGCUUGAUAAUUUCUUAUCUUUCUAAUGUCCAGAUAGCAAUACACAAGAUGUACUCAUCAUCUUAGAGACAAACAUGGUGGAAUAGAGAAAGGAAAAAAAAUAUAUGUAGUAAAAACUGUCUUUUAUAUGUCAAAAUCACUUCUUAAAAAACAUGCUGGGUGAGGUGACUGGCACUUGUAAUCCCAGCUGCCCGGGAGGCUGAGGCGGGAGGUUUGCUUGAGGCCAGGAGUUCAAGGCUGUAGUGAGCUAUAAUUGUGUCACUGAGCUAUUUUCUUAAAAAACAAAAAAAGAAAUAUUAUUAUAUGAUAGGCAGAAAGCUGAAUCAUGAAAUACAUAUUUUUAUAGUUCUUUAUAAUUUUCAAUUUGACUUUUUAACUUUAUAUUUGAGUGUCACGAGAACCAAAGCAGUACACAAUACACAAACAUUAAUUUUCCCAUUUUACAUGUAAUGUUAGCAAGUAUUUGCAAAGUGUUUAGUAUAUUCCUGUUUAGUGAAUGUUGAGAAUUUGCCUGUUCCAAAUGUGUUAUAUUGAUGAGCUUAUGUAGGUUUUACAAAACUCAAAAAAAGAAGCACUAUUAUUUUCCCCAUUUAUAUGUAAUGAAGGAAUCAUGUCAUAGAAAGUAAGUAACUUUUCAACAUCCCACAGUUUAAGAGUGGUAGAGCCUGAAUACAACCCAGGCAAUCUGGCCUCAUAGAAUUUCAUCAUAACGUUUAUUUAUUGCCUCUCACAUCACAAAUAAGGUAUAGGGCAUCAUGAAAUUGUGAUUUUUUUACAUCUUAUAUAAGCAUUAUUAUAAUGAGUCUGUUCUAGAGUUCUUGUCUUCUGAUUUUAAUUUAUGAGAGAUUAAAAAAAACCUAGUGCUAGUGAGCAUAUUGAAAUUUCUGAAUAAAACUUAGGUCAGUGUUUUUCUCAAGUCCAGUGAAAUGAUUUAAUUUCUAGAUGGGUAUCAUUCUUUUGAUCAAUAAAAUGCCAAUCAGGAAACCGUGACCAAAUGGUAGCAAGUUUUUUUCAAUGGUAAAUUAUGAAUUUGUGAAUACAUGAUACAUAUGAGCGAAGCUACAGUUGCUACAUUCUAGUUAAGUGGAAUGAAUAGAAUCAUUAUCCAACUAAGAUUUAUGAGCUCAUAACAGGAACUUGUGUAGGUGAUUGAUAUAUGUCAGUGAACAAAGCAAAGAUCACUAUCUUUUAUGGUCUACAGACAAGCAAAUGAAGGGAAACAAAAAAGAAGCAAAGGAAAAGAAACCCAUACUAUAGACAUAAAUUGUAAGGCAUUAGGAAUUACAGAGAAAAAUAAAAUAUGAAGCAUGGUAAGAGGAAAUCAGAAAUAUGAAGGGGCUUAUGAUGGUGGAAUAACUAUAGUUUUUUACAGGUGUACAGAUUAGGUCUGACAUUUGGGCAAAAAUUGUAAAGAGGUAAGAAAGGUAGUCAUCCAAUUUUCUGAGAAAACAGCAUUCCAGGAAAUGGAAUAACUGCUAUAAAGGAUAAAAUGGGGAAUGACUGGUAUAGUCAAGACAUAGUAAAGUGGUCAAGAGAAUAGGUUAUGUCAUUUACAUACAAUUAAAAUGUUAAAAGUAUUAAAUAUUUAAAGAUGGUGACAAUAAAGAAUCAAACAAAUUUGGGGUCCUCUUGAGCACUGGACAUAAGUUGCAUGCCCGUGAAGCUGGCCUUGGUGGUAGACUAAACAAUCUUGGUGACAAUCUUACAUCUUGGGGAUGUAAGAUUAGAGAUGAAGAGGGGCCAGAUCUUGUAAUACAAUAUGAGCCAUAGAGAGGACUUCUACUUUGACUCUGAGUGAAAUGGGGAACUACUGAAUGGUUUUGAACAAAAGAGUGACAUGUUUUUGCUUAUAGUUUUAAAGAGGCCUCUUCUGCUGCUCUUUUAAGACUAAAAUGUAGAUUGGCAAGGGUAGAAGCAGGGAAAAGUUGCAUUAAUAAUUAAUAAUUGAGUUGGAUGAAAAUACUUUUAAGAAAUCUGAUGUCUUUGCAGUAAAUCUAGUAGCUCUACCUUAUGUGUAAAUAUGAAUGUAUAUAUGGUAUUAUAAACAUAUAUUAAGAAGACCAGUUCAAAUUAAGAGGACUAUGUGGCUUCAUGUAAAUUGAUUAUAAGAAAUAAAAAUAAAACUUGUUCCCAAAAUGAGGGUUAUAUACAGUGAUGAUUGGCAUUAUAUUCAAUGUAAAUUUCCAGUUAUGGAAAUUUCAUGUAUUAUUAUAUUUCAGUUCUGUUGAUAAUCAGAGUAUACACUUAAAAACAUCUAAUGAAUGAAGGCAUAUGAAUCGUCAUUGAAAGUAACCACAAAUCUGAGAUAAAUAUGUGUGAAAAUAUUUUUGGAGAUAACAUCAUUUGAAGGAGGUUGCACAUUUGACUCUUAAUGGUAUUUCUGAGUGGUAACAUUUGUCUUGGUCCUUAGUUAAUGCAUCCUGAUAAUAUAUUCCUAAUAACAAUUUUAUUAUGCUAGCUUCAGAGUUAAACUGAACAGUUUUUUGUAUACAUACACAUUCUAGGCUUUAUAAGUUAAGUUAGAUUUACAGAGAGUCAAACAUUAAUGUUGACAGAAAGUCAAACAUUGAUUAACAUUCACAAUAUAGAGGAAUCCUCCUUCAAGUAUUUUUGUCAGCUUUUAUAAGGAAUAUUGAAAUUCUGUAUCAUUAUAAAGUGAGAAAAACAGCCAAAGUUAAUUAGUAUAACCUAUACUAUAAAUAAAAUUUCAAGAGUUUAUUGUUUUCAAAAACAAAAAGAUUUCUAGAGACAAAUAAUUCAUGAUCUCUAAAAAUUUAUUGUAAAAAAUAAGCUAGGGUGGGAUUCUGGAUAGAUGGAUGCAUUGUCAGGGUAGCUUGGUGAAUCUCCCCCAAUCUCUUAAAUUAAAAAAAGAUAGAUAAAUUAAUAUAGCAAAACCAAAUGUCCCAUUGAAAUAUCUACAUAGAAUCACAUGAAAAAAUGGUUUCAUAAACUCUGAAAUAUGUGUGUGUAGUCAAACCUACAAAACCCAUGUGGAAUAAGAAACUGCAAGAGGAGAAUCAGAAGAAA
rnacentral:lncRNA from 1 species